AGACGUAGGUGGCGAGCGUUACUCGGAAUUACUAGGCGUAAAGCGUACGUAGGCGGAAGUUUAAGUCUGUUGUGUAAUCUCCAAGCUCAACUUGGAAACUGCAACAGAAACUGGGCUUCUUGAGUGAGGCAGAGGAAAACGGAAUUCCUGGUGUAGCAGUGAAAUGCGUAGAUAUCAGGAGGAACACCGGUGGCGAAGGCGGUUUUCUGGGCCUUUACUGACGCUAAAGUACGAAAGCUAGGGGAGCAAACGGGAUUAGAUACCCCGGUAGUCCUAGCCGUAAACGAUGAUAACUAGGUGUGGGAGGUAUCGACCCCUUCCGUGCCGACGCUAACGCAUUAAGUUAUCCGCCUGGGGAGUACGGCCGCAAGGUUAAA
rnacentral:rRNA from 1 species